UACGUAGGGUGCAAGCGUUGUCCGGAAUUAUUGGGCGUAAAGAGCGUGUAGGCGGCCCGAUUAGUCCGCUGUGAAAGUCCAGGGCUCAACCCUGGAAUGCCGGUGGAUACUGUCGGGCUAGAGUCCGGAAGGGGCGAGUGGAAUUCCUGGUGUAGCGGUGAAAUGCGCAGAUAUCAGGAGGAACACCAAUGGCGAGGGCAGCUCGCUGGGACGUGACUGACGCUGAGACGCGAAAGCGUGGGGAGCAAACAGG
rnacentral:rRNA from 1 species